rnacentral:rRNA from 1 species
CCAAUUACUUAACCUACAUCCUAAUCCUCCACUAAUACUGAGUAAUUCUAUAGUGUUAUAGAAAUUUUUAUGUUAAAACUAGUAACAAGAAGAAGAUCCUUCUCUUAAAUGCACGUGUAAAUCAGAAAAGACAAACUACUGAUACUUAACACCCAUGAGCUCGAAGUAACAACUAACCAAGAAAACCCUACUUUUACUAAUGUUAACCUAACACAAGAGCAUUCUAAGAAAGAUUUAAAGAAAAAGAAGGAACUCGGCAAAUAUUAACCUCGCCUGUUUACCAAAAACAUCGCCUCUUGAGUUACUAUAAGAGGUCCAGCCUGCCCAGUGACCCUGUUCAACGGCCGCGGUAUCCUAACCGUGCGAAGGUAGCGUAAUCACUUGUUCUCUAAAUGUGGACUAGUAUGAAUGGCACCACGAAGGUUAUACUGUCUCCUUUUUCUAAUCAGUGAAACUAAUCUCCCCGUGAAAAAGCGAGGAUAACACUAUAAGACGAGAAGACCCUAUGGAGCUUUAAACAGUACAGCAUCUGCCCCCUAACACUAAAGUUUCCGAAUUAAAACUACCGAGCAAUAUGACUGUGAGUUUUUGGUUGGGGUGACCGCGGAGCAUAAUAUAACCUCCAUGCUGAAAGAAUAUUUCUCUAAGCUAAGAACCACAAAUCUAAGCAUCAACAUAUUGACAUCCAUUGACCCAAUAUACUUGAACAACGAACCAAGUUACCCUAGGGAUAACAGCGCAAUCCACUUCAAAAGCUCCUAUCGACAAGUGGGUUUACGACCUCGAUGUUGGAUCAGGGUCUCCCAGUGGUGCAGCCGCUACUAAA